rnacentral:rRNA from 1 species
GAUGAACGCUGGCGGCGUGCCUAAUACAUGCAAGUCGAGCGAACAGACGAGGAGCUUGCUCCUCUGACGUUAGCGGCGGACGGGUGAGUAACACGUGGAUAACCUACCUAUAAGACUGGGAUAACUUCGGGAAACCGGAGCUAAUACCGGAUAAUAUAUUGAACCGCAUGGUUCAAUAGUGAAAGACGGUUUUGCUGUCACUUAAAGAUGGAUCCGCGCCGCAUUAGCUAGUUGGUAAGGUAACGGCUUACCAAGGCAACGAUGCGUAGCCGACCUGAGAGGGUGAUCGGCCACACUGGAACUGAGACACGGUCCAGACUCCUACGGGAGGCAGCAGUAGGGAAUCUUCCGCAAUGGGCGAAAGCCUGACGGGGCAACGCCGCGUGAGUGAUGAAGGUCUUCGGAUCGUAAAACUCUGUUAUUAGGGAAGAACAAAUGUGUAAGUAACUAUGCACGUCUUGACGGUACCUAAUCAGAAAGCCACGGCUAACUACGUG